rnacentral:rRNA from 1 species
AGAGUUUGAUCAUGGCUCAGGAUGAACGCUAGCUACAGGCUUAACACAUGCAAGUCGAGGGGCAGCAUGGUCUUAGCUUGCUAAGGCUGAUGGCGACCGGCGCACGGGUGAGUAACGCGUAUCCAACCUGCCCACCACUUGGGGAUAACCUUGCGAAAGUAAGACUAAUACCCAAUGAUAUCUCUAGAAGACAUCUGAAAGAGAUUAAAGAUUUAUCGGUGAUGGAUGGGGAUGCGUCUGAUUAGCUUGUUGGCGGGGUAACGGCCCACCAAGGCGACGAUCAGUAGGGGUUCUGAGAGGAAGGUCCCCCACAUUGGAACUGAGACACGGUCCAAACUCCUACGGGAGGCAGCA